AUUGAACGCUGGCGGCAUGCUUUACACAUGCAAGUCGAACGGCAGCGCGGGCUUCGGCCUGGCGGCGAGUGGCGAACGGGUGAGUAAUGCAUCGGAACGUGCCCAGUAGUGGGGGAUAGCCCGGCGAAAGCCGGAUUAAUACCGCAUACGACCUGAGGGUGAAAGCGGGGGACCGAAAGGCCUCGCGCUAUUGGAGCGGCCGAUGUCGGAUUAGCUAGUUGGUGGGGUAAAGGCUUACCAAGGCGACGAUCCGUAGCUGGUCUGAGAGGACGACCAGCCACACUGGGACUGAGACACGGCCCAGACUCCUACGGGAGGCAGCAGUGGGGAAUUUUGGACAAAGGGGGCAACCCUGAUCCAGCCAUGCCGCGUGCGGGAAGAAGGCCUUCGGGUUGUAAACCGCUUUUGUUCGGGAAGAAAACCUCUGGGCUAAUACCCCGGGGGGAUGACGGUACCGGAAGAAUAAGCACCGGCUAACUACGUG
rnacentral:rRNA from 1 species